rnacentral:rRNA from 1 species
UACGUAGGGGGUGAGCGUUGUCCGGAGUUACUGGGCGUAAAGCGCACGCAGGCGGUCUGUUAAGUUUGGAGUGACAGUUGGUGGCUUAACUGCCAAAGUGCUUCGAAAACUGACAGACUUGAGGGCUUCAGAGGGACACGGAAUCCGGGUGGAGUGGUGAAAUGCGUAGAGAUCCGGAGGAACACCAAAGGCGAAGGCAGUGUCCUGGGGAGUACCUGACGCCUCAGGU